UGUUGAGCUUGACUCUAGUCC
rnacentral:siRNA from 1 species